rnacentral:rRNA from 1 species
CCUACGGGAGACAGCAGUAGGGAAUUUUCGGCAAUGGGGGGAACCCUGACCGAGCAACGCCGCGUGAACGAAGAAGUUAUUCGUAAUGUAAAGUUCUUUUAACAGGGAAGAAAGAGAAAUUUGACGGUACCUGAUGAAUAAGCUCCGGCUAACUACGUGCCAUCAGCCGCGGUAAUACGCAGGGAUCGAGCGUUAUCCGGAAUUAUUGGGCGAAAAGGGUGCGUAGAUGGCAUAGUAAGUCUUUUGUAAAAAUGCUGGGCUCAACCCAGUAGGGCAAAAGAUACUGCAAAUCUAGAGUAUGACAGAGGCAAGUGGAACUAGAUGUGUAGCGGUAAAAUGCGUAAAUAUAUGUAAGAACACCAGUGGCGAAGGCGGCUUGCUGGGUCGAUACUGACAUUGAGGCACGAAAGCGUGGGGAGCAAACAGGAUUAGAUACCCUAGUAGUC